AAAAUAUAUACUGAUUGAUUUAAUGUUGCACAAAUGAAAAUCCACUAUUUGUGAAUAAGAUGAUACCUUGAAAUUUAUUUGUGAAUAAGAUGAUACCUUGAAAAGAAUUCCUUUUAUCAGUUGGGAAUGAGUGGAUGUAUUAAUUUUUUAUUGUGAUUUUAACACACUAGAAAGUGGCUUCAUGCAAAGAUGUUCAAUUUAAUUCUGGGGCUUAUUUGCAGAGAGAAAGACAUUCUGUGUUAGGAAGUGAUGGAAUAAAUGGAAAAAAUGUACUGAAACCCAUAUUUCACUUUCAGACUUGGAGAAUUG
rnacentral:lncRNA from 1 species